GCAUAUCAAUAAGCGGAGGAAAAGAAACCAACAGGGAUUGCCCUAGUAACGGCGAGUGAAGCGGCAACAGCUCAAAUUUGAAAUCUGGCUUCGGCCCGAGUUGUAAUUUGUAGAGGAAGCUUUUGGCACGGCACCUUCUGAGUCCCCUGGAACGGGGCGCCAUAGAGGGUGAGAGCCCCGUAUAGUUGGAUGCCUAGCCUCUGUAAAGCUCCUUCGACGAGUCGAGUAGUUUGGGAAUGCUGCUCAAAAUGGGAGGUAAAUUUCUUCUAAAGCUAAAUACCGGCCAGAGACCGAUAGCGCACAAGUAGAGUGAUCGAAAGAUGAAAAGCACUUUGAAAAGAGGGUUAAAUAGCACGUGAAAUUGUUGAAAGGGAAGCGCUUGUGACCAGACUUGCGCCGGGCUGAUCAUCCGGUGUUCUCACCGGUGCACUCUGCCCGGCUCAGGCCAGCAUCGGUUCUCGCGGGGGGACAAAGGCCCUGGGAACGUAGCUCCUCCGGGAGUGUUAUAGCCCAGGGCGCAAUGCCCUCGCGGGGACCGAGGCUCGCGCUCUGCAAGGAUG
rnacentral:rRNA from 1 species